UGUAGUCCAGGAACCGCUUUUGCAUAACCUCAGUAGAUAAAGCAUGCUGAGGUCAUGUCAGAUCAUUUCAAGCUCUUCUGUGUCGAGCUGAGGAGCUGCUCUGUGCCCGGCUUACAGAACUGGAAGGGGGAGCCACCUUCCGCCUGAUGGAGGCUGGAGAACGGAUGGAACCUGGAUCCCUGGAGCCUGGGACACUACCUCGCUGCGGUUGGUGGUGGCCACAGACCAGUAGGAGGGCGGCUGGCAGCGGGAGCUUCUUCUGCCGGGCUGGAGGACUAGGAGAAGGGAGAGGGAACGCCACAUGCUGGAGGCUGGAGCCUGUGCCACCGUGGCUCACCUCGAUGUGGUUGGUGGCAGCUCGCCUUGCUGUGGUUGGUGGUGACGUCGGAGACUGCAGCUCGGCCACAGUGGUAGAAAUGUGUUGGGAUGGAGCCGGACUGUGUAGAACAAAUAAUUACAGAAACAAAGAAAACUUUUGCUGUGUUGGGCACUUGCUCCCAUCUGCUUGCUUCUCUAGAAUCCACUGCCCUAGAAUGAGUAAUUUUUCUUAGAAGCAGAGUUGGAACCACUGAGGAAGCACAGGUGAGCCCUCCCCAGCACACACUCGCUAGUCCCCAACAGAAGAACUGUUGCUGCAUCCAUUGAGGUACCAAGAAACUAGCAAAGGGCCUUCUGGCUGUCUGGGGACAGUCCUCAUGUGGUCCCUGGCUCAGCCUCAAGGGUUCUGGAUUAAUUUGUCUGCAGCCUCUGUGCUGUGUCUCUAGAUCGGGGCUCUGUGGGAAGGGCCCUGGGAGACCCAGCAGCACAGGGUGUCUCGUCUGCCAAAUGUCCCUCCCUUCUCCCACUCUGACACUCAGGAAUAGGGUAGAUGGCAUGUCCAGGCAGUGCCAGGCCACCUCAUUGUCUCCUUUGAGAUGGGCCCAGAGGGCCUUGGGGGGCGAGUGUGAAGCUGGGUACCUGGAGCCUGAGGCUGACUGUCCCUUCCUAUGUCUUGGAGGAGAGGCCUUGGGGCCCAAGAAACCCCCCCGGGCCUGAUCUCUGGGCACACAUGCAGGGAGGGAGGGUCUGUGGGCUGAUUGGGGCAUUGUAAUGAGACGUUGAGCACCACUGCACAGGGGCCUCGUCAGUGGAUCAUGGUCAGAGAUGACCUAGCCAUCAGGACCUGGUCAGUUGGGACCAGAUCAGCAGGGACCUGGCUAGGGGGUGGCCUCCUCAGUGAAGGCCUCACCAGUAGGGAUCUGGUGACCUAGUCAUUGGAAGCCUAGUCAGUGGGGACCUGGUCAGUGGUGGCCUUAUUAGUGGGGCCUGAUCGGUUGGAACAUAAACAAUAAAAAACUGGCCGGUGGGGUCUAUUCAGUAUAUUAGGGGUCUGGUCAGUGUGGGGCCUUAGUGGCUCGGAGCCUGGUCAGUGAGGGCCUGGUCAGAGGGGGCUCGGUCAGCUGGGGACUGAUCCAUGGAGAAUUGUUCAGUGGGGGUGAGGUGAGGGGCAACCUGGUAAAUUGUGGUCUUGUCAGUGGGAACCCAGUCAGUGGGGUCUGGUCCGUGAGGCCUAUUAAUAGGGACCUCUUCCUGGUUAUGGAGACAUGGCCAGUGGGGACUUGGUCAGUGGGACCUGGUCAAUGGAGGAGUGGUCAUUAGGGGCCUUGUCAGUGGGGACCUGGUUUGGGGGGCGCCUGGUCAGUAGGAACCUGGCCAGUUGGCCGCUGUGUGACCUUAGGCAGGGGGUUUGUGGAGCCUCCUUGCUUCCAUGUGUAGGAAGGUGAGUCAGGGCACCCUGGAGCGUUGCUGGAAAGAGAAUGUGAGAAGAUGUGUUGAAUUCAGCACUGCUUGGCAGACCUCCAACUUUACACACAACCUGGGUUCCACCUAGAGAGGGUACCAGCCCGCUCUACUCUGCUCGGCGCCCCUCCU
rnacentral:lncRNA from 1 species